rnacentral:tRNA from 1 species
GGGAGCAUAGCUCAGCUGGGAGAGCAUCUGUCCUACAAACAGAGGGUCAUAGGUUCGAGCCCUAUUGUUCCCACCA